rnacentral:ncRNA from 2 species
AUGCGGCUAGGUGAUGAUGUUCCACCUAGCAGUUAUGCUAAACCGCUUUUCAAGCUGAUGACGUCUGUACAUGC